CGCCAAAAAAAACUGAAACUUCCGGAUUACCAAGCAUAGGCAAUUUUGUAUUCCAUAUGUCUAUUGUAUAAAUGGGUGGAAGAAGAAAAAAUCACCUGAUGUCCCAGCAAUGGGGCAAUUAAUCCAGAAUGUAGCCUAGGUUUCUCAGCCUGGUGGUCUGCAUUUUGGUUCGCUUCAGGUGUAUAUUU
rnacentral:snoRNA from 1 species